rnacentral:lncRNA from 1 species
UAGCCGGGCAUAGUGGUGGGUGCCUGUAAUCCCAGCUACUCAGGAGUCUGAGGCAGGAGAAUUGCUUGAACUCGGGAGGGUGGAGGUUGCAGUGAGCUGAGAUUGCACCACUGCACUCCAGCCUGGAUGGCAGAGUGAGACGUGUCUCAAAAAAAAAAAAAAAAAAAAAAAAGAAAGAAAUUUAGGGGACACAUUCAAACUAUAGCAAGGAACAAUUCAUUUACUGGGAAUAAUGAUUAUCCAUACCCCAAUUCCAUUUCCAAAUGUACUUGUAGAAAAUUGUUUGCAAAUGACAGCCUGAAAUCUCUCAUCUCUUUGUUUUGAAACAAAACAUAAAAUGUCCAAAAAUAAAACAGUUGAGAUCCGUUUGUGAUUCAUAAGGGUGAUGAUUGGGUUUUCAUGCUAAUAUGUGAGAUGUGACUCCUUCAAACUUCCUUGUUAUGACAUCAGCACAUUACUCAUCUGAUGUGAAAAGAAAUUUUUAAUUUAAAAAAGUUGAUAUUUUAAGCUAAAAUGCAAAAAUUCUAAACACUAGGCAAUCACAAUAGCUUUUGUCCAUUUGACUGCCAUAGCAUGUAGUUACUUUUAUUUUAUUUUAGAGACAGAGUCUUACUUUGUUGCCCAGGCUGUAGUGCAGUGGUUUGAUCUUGGCUCACUGCAACCUCUGCCUCCUGAGUUCAAGUGAUUCUUAUGCCUCAGCCUCGAGAGAAGCUGGGGUUACAGGCGUGUGCUACCACGCCCAGCUAAUUUUUUUUUUUUUUUUUUUUUUUUAGACGGAGUCUCGCUCUGUCGCCCAGGCUGGAGUGCAGUGGCGCGAUCUCGGCUCACUGCAAGCUCCACCUCCCGGGUUCACGCCAUUCUCCUGCCUCAGCCUCCGGAAUAGCUGGGACUACAGGCGCCCGCCACCACUCCCGGCUAAUUUUUAUGUUUUUUUUUUUUUUUUAGUGGAGGUGGGGUUUCACCAUGUUGGCCGGGAUGGUCUCCAUCUCCUGACCUCGUGAUCCACCCACCUCGGCCUCCCAAAGAGCUGGGAUUACAGGGGUGAGCCACAGCGCCCGGCCAUUUUUGUAUUUUUAGUAGAAACGAGAUUUCACCAUGUUAGCCAGGCUGGUCUUGAACUCCUGACCUCAGGUGAUCCACCCACCUUAGCCUCCCAAAGUGUUGGGAUUACAGGCAUGAGCCACCUCGCCCAGCUGCAUGUAGUUACUUUUAAUCUAUACUGAAUAUAGGCUUGGUCCCUAAACUAACCAUAAUAAACAAUUCCAUUUCGAAAUGUAAAUCACAAAUUAUAUUUUGUCUUACAUAAUUGAUUUAAAGUAUGUGUCAUGUUAAACAGAAAGUUGAAUUUUGUCUUAAUAACAUGAAUAUUAUUGGAUUAUAUUAAAUUAAUAUUUUUUGUAGAAUUGUAAUACUUUUUUAAACAUAAACAAUUUUACAAAAAAUUGUAAAACAUAUAUCAAUGAGCUAAUAUUUAUAAGUGUAAUAUUCUAAAUAUUUUUGAAGUGCCUGUAACAAUGCCUAGAACAGUGCCUGGUACAUAAUAAGCAUUAUAUGUGUCUGUUAAAUAAAAAGAAAACGAAAUUAUAAAAUAUUUUAAAAUACUACAAGUUUUAUAAGUAUAUUUAUAUAUAUGAAUUGAUAAAGAACAUUUGCAUAGUAAAAAAUAUAUAUACAUUGGAAAAUGCAGAUUUAUGUAAUCACUCCCCC